rnacentral:rRNA from 1 species
AUGCGCAGACCAUAUGCUUUUUUACGGUUCUCCUUUCAUAAACGCGCACACCUGAUUCACCUUCCAACACUUCGACGAAAUUUCUCCUUUUGUUACAGUUGCAAACAACCAGACCAUCUGAGCUCUUAUGAAUCAUGCCACAUGGACGGUUCAACGGAAUUCGGCUUAAUUCUUAGCUCUCCGACCGAAUUCUGCAAGAUGUGCCGGAGACAUACCUCAACAUGUUCUCCGACGUUGCUAGACACAAUGCCGGGACGAGGGCUAAGCGGGGAGAACGCCGGUCUGAUGCCCCCCUUUCCCUAA